GGAAUUUUCCGCAAUGGGCGAAAGUCUGACGGAGUGACGCUGCGUGAAGGAUGACGGCCUGCGGGUUGUAAACUUCUUUUCUCGAAGAAGAAGCCCUGACGGUAUUCGAGGAAUAAGCAUCGGCUAACUCCGUGCCAGCAGCCGCGGUAAUACGGAGGAUGCAAGUGUUAUUCGGAAUGAUUGGGCGUAAAGCGUCUGUAGGCUGUAUAGAAAGUCUUUUGUUAAAUGCCUCGGCUCAACCGAGAUCCAGCAAAGGAAACUUCUAUACUUGAGGGAAGUAGAGGUACAGGGAAUUCCCGGUGGAGCGGUGAAAUGCGUAGAUAUCGGGAGGAACACCAAUAUGGCGAAGGCACUGUACUGGGCUUUACCUGACGCUCAGAGACGAAAGCUAGGGUAGCAAAUGGGAUUAGAUACCCCAGUAGUC
rnacentral:rRNA from 1 species